rnacentral:sRNA from 1 species
UCUCGUUUGAAGAAGGACAUGUCAUAGC